AGGCGGGUGCGGCCGGUGCUCGGAUUCCUCCGCGCCGUCCGCAUCCACCUGACGACUGCUCGCUACGUUUUGUUAGCC
rnacentral:sRNA from 1 species